rnacentral:lncRNA from 10 species
AAAAGAUUUUUCAAAUAUUAUUAAAAUCAAAGAAUGAAAAUGUAAAGUGGAGAUUUUAAAGUUACACAAGGAAUUCAUUGCUCUCACUAUUCAGAAAAUUUAGAAGUAUAUAACUCUUUAAUGAAAGAUUUUCUUUUAUCACAAUAGACUGCCUAGUAUUUUUGAACAUAGACCUUUAUAAGACAUGAUGACAGCUUAAAAGAAUCCUAUGUCUUUUAAUGGAUCCUAAAGCCCUGGAACCAGGACUGGCAAACUUUUUCUACAAAGGACUAGAUGAACCAUUCCAAUUCUCUUCUACCUAUUUUGAAAUACAGUACAAGCUAUAGUCAUCCUACUGAAGAUCUUAAAUCCUUUGAAAGAAUAAUUACCUUUUUGAACAGAGAACCAAUUUCAAAAUAGUGUGCACACACUUCAACUUUAGUGGAGCAUGCAAAAUAAUUAACUCUCUCGAAGAUCUGCAGUAUAUGAUAAAAUAUAUAAAGAUGCAUAUAUCAGGAGGCUGAGGCAGAAGAAUCGUUUGAGACAAGGAGUUUGAGACCAGUGUGGGCAGCAUAGCAAGACCCCAUCUCAUUCAUACAUAUAUAUACAUACAUAAAAUUCUUUAAAAAGAUGCAUAUAUCUAAUUAUAAAACAGUUCCUUUUAGUUAUA